rnacentral:tRNA from 1 species
GGGUGGUCUAACGGUAGGACAUCGGGCUCAUAACCCGAAGAUUGGCGGUUCGAUUCCGCUC